UUAGAGGAAGUAAAAGUCGUAACAAGGUUUCCGUAGGUGAACCUGCGGAAGGAUCAACCCCUGUGGGUAUAGUGAGAUGGUUUUUCCAACCCAACCCGUGCGCACAUCCAUUGGACUGGAUGCACGGGUGUGUGGUCUUCUUGGUGGGGGAGGCCUGGUUAGGGCCUGACUUGGUGGGGGUGACUAGGCUGGACGGUGUACUGACAAAGCCGUUUUUCCAGUUAUAGAGCCGUUCCGGUCGGGCCCAAGGGCAUGUCCAGUCCCAUUGGUGGUGGACGCCCCUCCGUGGGCUCUGAGGCCUUGUCACCCUCAGUGUCCGUCGGAGUCUACAAAGGGGCACUUGUGCCCCGGCGUAACGUGGAUGUGUGUGUGUGUACAUACAUAUUCCGGUUGGCCUUGUGCCAACAACAUGCCAGUGAAGACGUGUCCUUGUCCACUCCAACGUUUUUACCUACGGGACAAGGCCUAGCUGGUCCGCAGGCGGCGGGAUGACUUGGGUUGGAAGAGGGGGCCGAUGUGUACACAAUGCCCUCCUUCCGUCGUGCCCAAUCGUCCGAAGUUAUGGGCCUCGACGAAUUGAUGUAAGUCGAGGGGGUCAUAUCUGUUUUUGGCCCGGCAUGGACCUAGACCUACACGCGGUGCCCCUGUUCUUGACUGAUUAGGUCUAUAACAUCAAGCUGAGUUUUCCAAUGGGUUUUUAAAUAACUCUCAACAAUGGAUCUCUAGGCUCUUGCAUCGAUGAAGAACGCAGUGAACUGCGAUAACUGGUGUGAGUUGCAUGGCACUUCUAAUCUAACACCAAGCGAAUCAUCGAGUCUUUGAACGCAAACGGCACCCUUCCAGUCCAUUCCAAAGCGGUGGCGGA
rnacentral:misc_RNA from 1 species